UAAUUUUGUCGAUUGAUUAUUUCAUAGAUUGAAUAGUUGCUUGUUUAGUUUUUUUUUUAUUGUAUAGUUUUAACUUUGAUUUUGUUUUUUUACUAUAUUUUGUAUGUUUUUUAUUUGAUUAUACAUGUUUUGGCAUUAUAAUAACAUUAUAAUUUGGACUUUUGAUUGGGCUAGUUUGGCCUAUGCUGACUUUCUACUUGGGCUGCGACUCGCCUGUCGUCACCGGAGCUUUGAGGAGGAGGUCACUCUUUCUAGCUUCUGAAAGAUCGUAGAGGUCUAGUUCUACGAGUAUUUCCCGUCCUUGGCACCGGCACGAUCUCUACCUAGGGGGCUCCCCAUUGCUUCCAGUUGGGGAGGUCGCUAUCCUGGCGUGGUUGCCACCGCACACGUGAAAGAGGCGCUUCUCGCGGUUAGGAUAAUCUCUCUAUAUCGUUAUUAUUUUCUUUUGACCUCUUUGUAGGAUUUCUUGACUUAUGUUUGUCCCUUUUACGAGUCCCGAUGUCUCCUACCGUCCAUGGGUGGGAUUUGACGAUUCUACACUGGCUUACUAAUACACCGCCCAGAGGCGUUAUUUUUGGGGGACCUACGAUGUUGUGGUGUGCUUGGGCGAGAGAGGUGUGGUUCAGCACUCCUUAGAGGUUUUCGUCGUUCUAUCCCGUCCUCCACGACAUAUGAUGGACCAGACGCGUAUCUGAGCACACAUGGACUCGGAGCUGAUCGGUGCGGAUUGGCGAAGCUUUAGCCAUCCGGUCGAUCUUAUGCAGAGUGGCUUCUACCACGGCUGCAGCAGCUGCGGAGUUCGUGCCUCCACGUAUGUCCAUUGUGUACUAGGGGACAUACGGUCCGAUUAAGGAGAUGGAGCCUCCUGCCCUUGAGGAGUGGCGUCUAAUUUCAAGUUCUCAAGUGAGGUGAUGACAAGAAUGGCGACAGCUAUGGACGCUUUCCGGUAACAAAUGGUGAGGUUGAGUCACCCAACCUCAUGUUGUUGCGAUGGCGACGUUGUAACGCCCGCCCCUCCGUCACGUACUCGCUUGAGGCCAGAGGGCUUGAGGGAGAAAGCUGAAUCGAGGCGUCGUCACACCUCGGUCGAGAUUGAGAAUGGGAGAGAAGCGUCAGAUCAUACCGUAGUACUGGAUGAUUUUGGCUCUUCUUCUGAGGGGUUGGCAGUGAGGCCACCUGGUCGGGGUAGUCCGACGUUGGUUCCUUUUAGGGUCGGAUGAACGUACAAGGUGGGCUCGUCUUCGCGACAGCUGCAGUAUGAGGAGCAGCAGCAAGGUCAAACGGGAUGGGCUGGCCCUACACUCUCGUUUCCGAUGACCAGGGGUGUUGAAGAUGGCCAAGGAGUGACCCCACGUAUGUUGCAGUUUUAUGAUGCUCUGGGUAUCCGUCCUCCAGCGCCAUAGCCUUUGUACCUAUAUUGAUUUAUUUAUGCAUUUUUUAACUAGGUAGGACUUUGCUUUUUUUAUGCGGAUCUAUAACUCGAUUAGACAUGAUGUAUAUGACUGGGUUAGACAUGAUGUAUAUAUACAUAUUAGACUUACU